GAGAAUGCCGGUGUGAGUAGCGAAAGACGGGUGAGAAUCCCGUCCACCGAUUGACUAAGGUUUCCAGAGGAAGGCUCGUCCGCUCUGGGUUAGUCGGGUCCUAAGCUGAGGCCGACAGGCGUAGGCGAUGGAUAACAGGUUGAUAUUCCUGUACCACCUAUAAUCGUUUUAAUCGAUGGGGGGACGCAGUAGGAUAGGCGAAGCGUGCGAUUGGAUUGCACGUCUAAGCAGUAAGGCUGAGUAUUAGGCAAAUCCGGUACUCGUUAAGGCUGAGCUGUGAUGGGGAGAAGACAUUGUGUCUUCGAGUCGUUGAUUUCACACUGCCGAGAAAAGCCUCUAGAUAGAAAAUAGGUGCCCGUACCGCAAACCG
rnacentral:rRNA from 1 species